AGACUAGGGGCUGCCCUCCGCCUUCUCGCCAUGGACGCGGACGACUCCCGGGACACCAAGGGCUCCUUGCGGAAGUUCCUGGAGCACCUCUUCGGGGCCCGCAAGGCCAUCGGCGUGCUGACCAGCGGCGGGGAUGCUCAAGGACGCAAGGAUUGAGAACAAUGGACUUUUUGAUGUGUGUUGCAACAAACGCAUAGCCGAGGGCUGUAAAUCGGAGGGAUCACCAGGUCUGCCUACCAGCCACCAGGCAAGUGGGGAGAAGCUGUCACCCCAACUUGAGUUUCAAGAAGACUCCUUGGAAGAAAAGACCACCAAAUUGAGAAUGAAAAGAUCAUACACGGGGGUCGUCAGACAUGGUCUGAGACCUGCUGGGAAGAACAGCAGCCUGGCCCUGCUACCCCCUGGCUUCUGCUCACAGCACUGACCCCAGCUAAUCCAAGAACAUGUCACCUAUAAUGAGAAUAUUGAAGAAAAAUCAACCAUCUUCCAGAUGUGUCUAUAUCAUGAUAUGGUACAUGGGUAAGUAAGUUGUAGCUAUUCUUGAGAUGGGGCAGUGGCUCCAUGCUCUGGCCCCCGACCUCAGCAGCUGUCCCAGCUCAUCACCCUGAGUGCCAGCUUUCCCAUCUCAUCUCAGGAUCUGCACUGGACGGCACCAGGGCUUUCUUCAGCGAACAUCUAAACUCUCUCAAGUGUCUCCAGAGACUUUCACAUGUCUACAAAGAUGACCUCAUUCUGUAACAGCAUGGAUUUAACUUGCUCUUCGAUGUCACUCCUUCACAGAGUGCACUGUUCAUCGUCACCCUAUCCACUAGCGUCAGUCUUACUAAAAGUCAAACAUCAAUGUUAGUGGUAACUCUGGAGGCCUGGCAUUGUAGCGAUAUCCCCAAGAGAAAAUUGUUUUGAACCUUUGUGGGAAAAGUUCAUGUACCUUUUAUUCAAACGCUAGUUUUUAUAAUCUCGCUACCAUGUGGCUUUCCUGAAGGAUGAAAUUUCUAAUGUCCUUCAGGUAGAGAGAGGUAAAAAGUAUUCUAGAACAUUAAUUGCCCACUCCUCUCAUCCCUUCUCAGAAACUAACUGAAUUCCAGUGUGUGUGCCUGGCAAACCCAAACACGGUUUUCCGUUCAGGAUGCUGGUCUUACCUGUGAAGGCGUUCAUGAACGUGGAGAGGGACCGGUUCAACAUUUUGAAGAAAGGGUCUCUGCAUGGGUAUUUCCGAGACCCACAAAGGACAGUAUGCUCAAGAAUGUGAGGAACACCGGUACUGUCCACGGGAGUGGUGCGGAACUGCACGCUAGGGAAGAAGGAACGGCUCGCCAGGAAGGGGGAGGAACAAGGAACAGAAGGCCAGCGACGGGGAGAAACAGAACGCUAGGGAAGGAGAAUGACUAGAAUACAAAACGUUCAUCUUAGUGCUGUGGACACAGUUCCCAGACGCAUCAUCACCUCGGGCUACUAGAAAUCAUUCUGACACCACAAUCCUCCAACCCAGGGUUUCCCAACUGUAAUGUAAAUCAUUGAUUCAGACUAUAAAAUUAUAUUUUGAUGAGAUUGUAAGUCCGUGUAAGCUUUUCCUUAUUUUUCAAGAUGCUCUGUCAAUAAAAAUACUAGUGAGAUGAUAUUUUAACCACGUAACAUACAGUCAGUGCUUUAAACCAAGCUUGUCUAACCCACAGCCUGCAGUCCGCAUGCUCAGGAUGGCUUGGAAUGCAU
rnacentral:lncRNA from 1 species